UGCGAUAAAUAAUUUUUUGACCUAAAAUAUUUAUAAAAAUGGGAUCAGUUCAUUAGUAAACAAAUUAUGUAAUUAACAAAAAAAAAGUUUUUUAAAAAAAUUUUAAAGGCCAAAUAUAUUAAUUCGAUCAAUAAUAUAAAAAUUUUUUCAUACGAUAUUUCUUAAAUAAUUUUCAUAUGAAUUUACCAUGCGCAAGGCGUAGGUCUUAUCCUAGUAUGGUGAUAUAAGGGGGAAAUUCGAAAUACGUUUUCAGAAUGUUAAAAGAUGAUAAUAACCAAGCAUUUAGUACAUUUCAUACAGGUAUAAUACAUGGGAGGGAUUCUAAUUACUAUGAAGAUGCAAGUUUUAUGUAUGUAUGCGUUUCCAAUUACGUCUAUAAUUGGCAAGUCAUUCGAAUUGAGCAGUAGCUGUGAUUACAUGCACGUACUUAUACAAAUAUAGACAUGAUACGGCAAUUUUCUAGAGUGUCACUAAAACUUGUCGCAAUAUAAUUACAUAUUCUAAUAAAAUAUUUACAACACAAACACAACUUGACAAUAAUCGAGGAUCUGGACGGCUAUAGCCUGUAUAGGGAGCAUGG
rnacentral:lncRNA from 1 species